rnacentral:lncRNA from 1 species
AGUGUACAGCUAAACCUGUAAGGUGUAUGAAAAAUCCAGUUAAUAUCUAAUUAAUUAUAUCAUUGUAUUAUUGUGACGUGUGUAAAAAUGAAGCAUGCAUGCAAUGCAGAGAAGACAGCAAAAGAUCAGAUCCAGAAAAAAGUACUGCCCAUCUAUACACAUAAGCAUGCAUGCUUGUGUUAAUUUAACUGAAUCUGAUGGAGAUCGAGCAAGCAAGCAUGCCUAGAUGUGUCUUGUGUGGGAAGCGUGCAUGUGAUAAUGGACGGGUGCAAAGUAGUGGUAAUGCUGGGAGAAAGCAUGAUCAUUUGUGUGACGCAUGCAUGCUACACAUGCUGAGAGGCAUCACUCAUUGCACCUUGUGGAAUGUUCCCCGGCUUCUACUGCUCAAAGGUAGAUCUCAUCAUACAUGCAUGUGUGUAUGUUUGUCCCUGCUCUAGCUAGCUACUUGUAUAGUGAACUUAUAUAUGUGUCUGUGCUACUUGUAUUUGCACUUGUAUUAGUUUGCAAAUAGUUGGGUCAUAUAUAAGCACUUGUAUUAGCUUAGGUCCCAGUCAAGGUGCUCAUGCAUCUAUGAUCAUAUGUGCUAGAUAGCUGGCUGGUGGGCAUGCUUUAUGCUUGGAUCAGAUCUAAGUUGUAAGAUCUAUUUGGAGGAGACAUUUAGCAUGGAUGUGUAUGUAUAAUGUUGUAAGUUCAAAUACGCAUCGUCAUGUGCAAGGGAACAUGCAUGCAUAUACUCCCUCUGUUCCAUAAUUCUUGUCGUCGUUUUAGUUCAAAUUUGAACUAAAACUAUGACAAAAAUUAUGGAUCGGAAGGAGUAUAUCCUUACUCAUUUAAUUACAAACAUUUCAAGUUUAAAUAAACUAGACGUGCACACACAUCAUCUCAACAUGCAUGUACUUACAAUAGACACAUUGAUCAGUGUGUUAUAUAUGAUAAUAUGAUCCCUUUCCAGAAGAAUUUAAAUGUAUAUGUACAUACUUCUCAUCACAAAGAAAUCUUAAGCAUAGAUUAUGUAGCAGAGAAAAACACAUCAUAUCCAUUCUCCACAAGAAAAUAGAACAUACAGACACUAUAUAUAUAUAUAUAUCCAUCCGCCGCAAGAAAAUAAAACACAUAAACACAAUAUAUAUUUGGGGAGCUGAAAAUAAAAGGUGGUAGCAAGCUCGUAGCUCACACAAGUUUUGAAAUCAAAUAUGUAAAUGAUAUCCAUAUAUGUAUGCUAGAUUGAACUUGCAUCUCGUCAACACAAAAAUUUACUCUCAUAUGUAAAUAUAGGUUUCUGCAAAUGAUAAGUCCAUAUUGAAGAAGAUGCAAUCCAUUAAAUGUAUGAAAUUCUUGCGUAUAUUAGUGUGCUAGUAAUAUAGAGUAUGUUGCAUCUGUGAUCAAUUUUAACGUACUGAUCAAACAGAACAUCUCUACUUAUCAUAUCAUAUAUAGAUAAGAGUUGAUCUAGGGUUCCAGGGAAGACAUGUUUUCAGAACAACUGAAGUCAACAUAUAUGUCUAGGUUUUAUACCUUUUUCUUUGAUCAAUGGAGAUCAGUAGUGAGACGCGUGAUGGAACCUUGUAGAAAGAAUUCCAGAGAUCUGGCUAGCUAGCUAGGGGAGCAGCAAUACAAUAGCUAGUAGACAGGGAUGAGCUUUUUGUCUCAAGGCUUGUCUCUCUGAUCUGCCUUUCUGAUCCCUAAUAACUCAUUGUCUGGCUCAGAUCCCAAGAAGAAUGUCGACGACGACCGCAGAGAGGAGCACGCGCACACACGGCAGGUACAACACAACAAUAACAAACAGCAUCAGAGAGAGUUCAAGGACCUUGAGGAAUAACAAGACAAACUAAGAGCAACAAGAGCUGAGAUGAAUCUAGCUAAGCUAGCUCCUCUCAGGCAAAGUACAUGAAAAAGAAAACAUCAUCAAGGCUCAGCUCGAUCACAUAUAUACCUGCUGCCUAGCUGCAAAGCGUUUGUCGGUCGGUCGAUCUGCAUGCACCCUUCAGCAGAGUUCUUGGCUGAUUGUUGGCUGCUUCUUCGUCCUCCACCUCCUUCCCUUGAUCCUGCUCAGCAGGUAGCUGCUGCAGAGAGGAGAGAGGAAGAGGGCUGC